CCUGGAUGGUAUAAAGUAGCCACAAUGAAUUAAGUUUUGGGCUUAAAUUCUUUUCACACAUUGCGAUUUUUUAAAAGUAAAGAUCAUAGUGGUCAUCAUUGGAAUGCCCUAAAGCGGAAUCACCUCAUCAAGAAUGUAGCCCAGAACAAUAUUCAAAAUCAAGGUGGGGGACAGACAACUAUGUUGAAUAUCAACCAGGGUCGACUUCAUCUAAGAUAAUUCUUCUUGUACCCCACGGAGGAUAUGAGAUGCCUAAGCACAUUCCAAAAAGGGUAAAUGGAUGUAGGAUAAAUGGUGAAUGCAUUUACUCUCACAGUUGUCCUAAUGUUGGGGAAUCCACAGAUUGUUCAGCAGGGUGGACAGGGAGCGAUGAAUAUACUCUUAAACUAAGCAAUGCUAUAGCUGAUUCAGUACACACCAUAACGGGUUAUCGACCACAUCUAAUUGCUAAUCAUCUCUACAGAGAUAGAAUGGAUGCAAAUAGACCAAUGAGUAAGGCGACGUUUAUGGAUCAAAAUGCAAUGACUGUUUGGCAGGAGUUCCAUAGUUAUAUUGAGGAAGCUAAAUCUAUAGUAGGGACGGGAUUGUUGUUGGACAUUCACGCCCAUGGCAGGCGUAAUAAUUGGAUACAACUGGGGUAUACUUUGCCUGGGGAUGAUCUGAACAGUGAAACGUUACUGAACGCCUCAAAAUCGUCAGUAUAUCAUAGGAGUCUACAUACGGGUGUCCCCUUUGAGGAGUUUCUUCGCGGCAAUGAAAGUUUGGGUGGUUUAUUUGAGAGCAAUGGCUAUAUAACAGUUCCUGCACCUGGUUUAAAAGGUCCGGGGACUGAGCCUUUUUUAGCCGGCGGUUAUAACACCAUGAGGCAUGGUUCAAGACAUCAAGGCACAAUUGAUGCAAUACAGGUCGAAUUUCCACAGUACAUUAGAAGAUAUUGGAAGCGAUACGCUCAUAGCGUUGCUGAAAGCAUUGUAGAAUUUACUAAACGCUGGUACCAAUAGAAACCAUGAUCCUUGUUCGUUUGCCAAUUAUCGCUUACAAUGUUUUUUUAAAUUCUAAGGAAAACGAACGUUACAUAUAUGAGGGUUAUAUCUAUAUUUAUAGUUCUCUACACAGAUCAGUUUGGACUUCAACGCAACCUAUAUUUAUAUUAGGCAAUUUACAAUUUGUGGAAAAUAAGAAAGCAGUAAUGUGAACGAAUUAAGCCGCAAUCGGCGAUUUGGAGAGAUAUUUCCUUUCGCACUUCACAAUUUGUGUAAAAAAAGUAUCCCAUUCAUAAUCAAUUUAGCACCGGGGUUUUACUGGAUUUUUAAAGGCAUUCGAUACCACCGAAUGUGGUAAUAACACAAAGUGUAUAUGAAAUUUUAUAAUUUUAAGAGUUCAUGUAUAUGGCAUUAAAGACUCACCCUUUCUUAUUUUAAAGCUGGAAAUUGUCUAUGGUUCAAAGUAAAUAUAUUUUGGCUUCAAAUUAAUUUUAAUAUUGGUAUUACAUGCGCACCAUUACAUGUAUAUAUCAAGAAAGAUAGGGUGGUACUGAAUCAUUUAUUGCUAUUUAUCUAUUGGUAUUACUGUACACAAAUACGUGUUUUGCAUUAUUUACAGUUGUACACUCCCCUCCAUAAGUUU
rnacentral:misc_RNA from 1 species